rnacentral:rRNA from 1 species
GAUGAACGCUGGCGGCGUGCCUAAUACAUGCAAGUCGAGCGAACAGACGAGGAGCUUGCUCCUCUGACGUUAGCGGCGGACGGGUGAGUAACACGUGGAUAACCUACCUAUAAGACUGGGAUAACUUCGGGAAACCGGAUCUAAUACCGGAUAAUAUAUUGAACCGCAUGGUUCAAUAGUGAAAGACGGUUUUGCUGUCACUUAUAGAUGGAUCCGCGCCGCAUUAGCUAGUUGGUAAGGUAACGGCUUACCAAGGCAACGAUGCGUAGCCGACCUGAGAGGGUGAUCGGCCACACUGGAACUGAGACACGGUCCAGGCUCCUACGGGAGGCAGCAGUAGGGAAUCUUCCGCAAUGGGCGAAAGCUUGACGGAGCAACGCCGCGUGAGUGAUGAAGGUCUUCGGAUCGUAAAACUCUGUUAUUAGGGAAGAACAAAUGUGUAAGUAAAUAUGCACAUCUUGACGGUACCUAAUCAGAAAGCCACGGCUAACUACGUG